rnacentral:rRNA from 1 species
AUUGAACGCUGGCGGUAUGCUUAACACACGCAAGUCGAACGGUAGCAGGCCUUCGGGCGCUGACGAGUGGCGGACGGGUGAGUAACGCGUAGGAAUCUGCCUGGUAGUGGGGGACAACUUAUGGAAACGUAAGCUAAUACCGCAUACGCCCUACGGGGGAAAGCAGGGGACCUUCGGGCCUUGCGCUAUCAGAUGAGCCUAGGUCGGAUUAGCUAGUUGGUGGGGUAAUGGCUCACCAAGGCGACGACCCGUAACUGGUCUGAGAGGACGAUCAGUCACACUGGAACUGAGACACGGUCCAGACUCCUACGGGAGGCAGCAGUGGGGAAUAUUGGACAAUGGGCGAAAGCCUGAUCCAGCCAUGCCGCGUGUGUGAAGAAGGUCUUCGGAUUGUAAAGCACUUUAAGUUGGGAGGAAGGGCAGUAAGUUAAUACCUUGCUGUUUUGACGUUACCGACAGAAUAGCACCGGCUAACUCUGUGCCAGCCGCCGCGGUAA